ACUCAAAUGAAUAGACGGGGGCCCGCACAAGCGGCGGAGCAUGCGGAUUAAUUCGAUGCAACGCGAAGAACCUUACCUGGGUUUGACAUGCACCGGGCGACGUCAGAGAUGGCGUUUCUUUUGCUGGUGUGCAGGUGGUGCAUGGCUGUCGUCAGCUCGUGUCGUGAGAUGUUGGGUUAAGUCCCGCAACGAGCGCAACCCUCGUUCCAUGUUGCCAGCGGCUCUCUUCGGAGGGGCCGGGGACUCAUGGGAGACUGCCGGGGUCAACUCGGAGGAAGGUGGGGAUGACGUCAAGUCAUCAUGCCCCUUAUGUCCAGGGCUUCACGCAUGCUACAAUGGCCGGUACAAAGGGUUGCGAUGCUGUGAGGCGGAGCGAAUCCCAAAAAGCCGGUCUCAGUUCGGAUUGGGGUCUGCAACUCGACCCCAUGAAGUCGGAGUCGCUAGUAAUCGCAGAUCAGCAACGCUGCGGUGAAUACGUUCCCGGGCCUUGUACACACCGCCCGU
rnacentral:rRNA from 1 species